AUACGUAGGGUGCGAGCGUUAAUCGGAAUUACUGGGCGUAAAGCGUGCGCAGGCGGCUUUUUAAGACAGGUGUGAAAUCCCCGGGCUUAACCUGGGAAUGGCGCUUGUGACUGGAAGGCUAGAGUGCGGCAGAGGGGGAUGGAAUUCCUGGUGUAGCAGUGAAAUGCGUAGAUAUCAGGAGGAACACCGAUGGCGAAGGCAGUCCCCUGGGUCGACACUGACGCUCAGGCACGAAAGCGUGGGGAGCAAACAGGAUUAGAAACCCCGGUAGUCC
rnacentral:rRNA from 1 species